rnacentral:rRNA from 1 species
AUACGGAAGGUCCGGGCGUUAUCCGGAUUUAUUGGGUUUAAAGGGAGCGCAGGCGGAGAUGCAAGCGUGACGUCAAAUUUCGGGGCUCAACCCCGUCUCGCGUCGCGAACUGCGUCCCUUGGUUGCGGGAAGGGGAGGCGGAACUCGUGGGGUAGCGGUGAAAUGCAUAGAUAUCACGAAGAACUCCGAUCGCGAAGGCAGCCUUCCGGCCCGUCAACGACGCUCAGGCUCGAAGGUGCGGGUAUCAAACAGGAUUAGAUGCCCUGGUAGUCCGCACAGUAAACGAUGGACACCCGCGGUUUGGCCUGUAUGGCUGAGCCGCCAAGCGAAAGCGUUAAGUGUCCCACCUGGGGAGUACGCCGGCAACGGUGAAACUCAAAGGAAUUGACGGGG